GCUACGGGGUGCAGCAGUGGGGAAUAUUGCACAAUGGGGGAAACCCUGAUGCAGCGACGCCGCGUGAAGGAAGAAGUAUUUCGGUAUGUAAACUUCUAUCAGCAGGGAAGAAAAUGACGGUACCUGACUAAGAAGCCCCGGCUCACAACGUUCCAGCCGCCGCGGUAAUACGUAGGGGUCAAGCGUGAUCCGGAGUUACUGGGUGUAAAGGGAGAGUAGGCGGGUGAGCAAGUCAGACGUGAAAGCCCGGGGCUCAACUCCGGGACUGCUUUUGAAACUGUUGAACUGGAUUGCAGGAGAGGUAAGUGGAAUGCCUAGUGUAGCGGUGACAUGCGUAGAUAUUAGGAAGAACGCCAGUGGCGAAGGCAGCUUACUGGACUGUAAAUGACGCUGAGGCUCGAAAGCGUGGGGAGCAAACAGGAUUAGAUACCCCUGUAGUC
rnacentral:rRNA from 1 species